AAUUCAUUUUCUUUUAUCAAGCAUAGCAAAUAAUUGAAGAGACUGUUAAAUAUAUUGUGAAAACUUAACCUAGAUUUAUUGGGGUAUAAUCAUUUGUAUUGAUUCUUAUUGGGAGUUGAAAUUUGUUAUCUUUUAGAUACGUUAUCAGUUCUGCUAUAGCUGGUGCAUAUUUUUGGUUUCUGCGUGUUUAUUAUCUUUUUUCAGUAGCAAUCAGGGCUGAUGAAAAUAAUGAGAUGAAGGAGGAGAAGAACGAGCAAGAGGCAAGUUGAGUUGUUUUUGUCUAUAAGCGAUCAUUUCAUAUAUUAAAGAUUUUGAUAAGGCUCAAGUUAGACUUUGUUUUUUACUUUUUUUGCUUGAUUAGUAUGAUUGUGUUGUUUAAACUGUUGGGCUAUCCUUAGCUCGCACCGUUUGAUCCAACCACUUAGUAGAAGAAGAAGACGAAUGUAGUCAUUCAGCAUCCUAUAUAUCGAGGACUCAACAGAGUCACAAGUGGAAAAAUCUGAUUCAUUACCUGCCAGCUAAUGAUGGCCCCAAGAGUUCAUUUUCUGGACUGAGGAAAAAGAAGAAGAAGCAUGUUGAAAUUUCAAGCUCAUGAAUGAAGAAAGUCUCGAUGCUGCAGAAGACUUGGAUGGCAUUUUUUAGAUUAUUUUCUUUUCUUAUUGUUAAUUGUUUCUAGCAGAAAAAAUGUUUUCCCUAUUUGAAGCUUACCCAAAAUACAUUGCUGAGCAUGUAAUGACGAGAAAGAGCAGAGGGAAUAUAUCUGAAGCAUCAGCAACGUUACCCUUGGUUAAAGUGAUAUGGAUUAUAUAU